rnacentral:lncRNA from 1 species
GCUUAGCAACCUGCUCGGGACCCCUCUCUGUGACUGUGAGCUGUUCUGUUCUUUUGCCUAUUAAACUCCUGCUCCAAACUCACUCGAUGUGUGUGUGCAUGUCCUUGACCUCAAUAUCUGGUCGUGUGACCAAGAACCUCAGUAUUCACCCCAGACAACAAGGCUGCUUCAUUUUGAGGGCUCGUCUGGGAUUUGAAGGUGACUUCAUCAGAAUGGAAAGUCUCUGGCUGACAAACAAUUGCCUCCUCAAAUACCAAGCUUUGCUGCUAAAGGGAUCUGCAGUCCAGCUGAAAACCUGCCCUUGCCUGAGCCCAGCCACUUUCUCCCAGAGAAAACUGGAGAACCUAAACAUGAUUGUGAACAGGCGCAGUAAGAUUGAGGAGCUAAAAACAGACUUGGGUGGAUGUCUGCAGCUGCAAGAAGAUGUGUGGGAACAGACACAGAAACUCUCCCUCCCAGAUAAGCAAGACAAAGAAACACAGAAUAAGAGUCCAUCUAUGUGGUCAGAGAAUGGGAUAAGAGCUGAUUUAAAAAAACUCUGCUCUAUAUAGAAGGCACACCUGGUCCCAACCAAACCACUGGACCCUAGGAGGAUAAGACCUCCUCUGCUCAUGAGCCCCCUCCUCAGUAGCCCAUUUAUAAAAACCCUGACAAUUUUACUACCACUUGGCAACCCGCUCGGGACCCCUCUCUGUGAUGGAGAGCUGUUCUUUUCUUUUGCCUAUUAAACUCCUGCUCCAAACUCAC